AAGCAGGAUUCCGACUAGAAUACAGCUGUUAAGUGCUGUGCGUCAUUCCCCCUGCUCAAAAUAAAGUUGUGGGUUCUUACCUAUAUCUGUCUGCUCUACCCCUGUAGCAACCAGGGCACUUGGUCUCAUACAU